GAUUAUAUCCUCAAGAGAUGUGAUGAGCAGAAUAUCCUCCGUUACGUCAUCGGGGUGGGAAAUUUUGAUUUAACUUAUCUCUCUCAGAUGGCGUCAGAACCAAAACAGAGCAACACCUUAUUCAUUCAAAACUACACUCGACUUGAAGGACUUCUUGACAACCUGCAAGAAAAGAUCCACAAUAUUAAAGAAGCUCACAGAAGAAGCAGACAGAGAGAUUUAUCACAGAGUGGAUUCAGUGUCGUCUACCAGGAGG